GAUAGCUGUCUUGUUGAUGAUUCAGCCUAUUGACACCUGAUUUAUAUGAUUCAGUACUAUGACCUGUUGAGCAUAUUCAUGAGUAGCAUAUAUGUUUACUUGAUUAUUCCAUAUAUGCUUCAGAUGAGUUGAUAUUGAUUGUGGUGGUAUUGAUGACUUACUCCAUAUUCUUUAUGUUGAGAUCAUGUUCAUCUUGUUAUUGUUCUUGAGAUUUCACCUCGAGCCAUGAUUAUAUCUGGUCUCAUGUGCAUAGUACUCUCUACUCCACUCACCGAGUAUUUAUAUACUCACUCCCCAGUUUGGUGUUUUUGAUUGCAGGGCAGGUAUUGUAUAGAGAAGAGCAGGGUUAGAGAUUGCCUGCUAGCUGUGCCGCUCCAUAGUAUAGUAUAGUAUAGUAUAAUGUAGAUAAAGGUUUAUACAUUUUGGUGUAUUAUAAACCUUCUAUUGUAUAUAGUGCAUAGUUACAGUCAUAGAUCCUGUUGUGGAUAUGGGUUUGACCAUGGAUGGAUUAGGAAGCAGGUAUAUAUAUAUGUGUGCAGAUGAGUUAUAUCCUUGAGAUGAUGUAUUGAUAUAUAUUGUCCAGGUUUAUUAUGUGACAGAUUAUGUGAUUGCUGCUCUGACAGGUAGUGUGUUGUAUGUAUUGAGAUAAUCUUGACAGGUCACUAUAGGAAAAGUGAUCAUUUUGUGCAUUGAUAGUCAACUUUAAAGACCACGCAAUAGCACGUAUCUGGUAGGAUAGUGAUUACGAGUAUCGAUCCACAGGGAUUGGGGUAUAAUUGUUUUUCUUUAAAAAUA
rnacentral:lncRNA from 1 species